GACGAACGCUGGCUGCGUGCUUAACACAUGCAAGUCGAACGUAAAGGCCCUGCUUUUGUUGGGUGCUCGAGUGGCGAACGGGUUAGUAACACGUUAGUAACCUGCCCUUGACUCUGGGAUAACUUCAGGAAACUGGUGCUAAUACCGGAUAGGAGCUCCUGCUGCAUGGUGGGGGUUGGAAAGUUUCGGCGGUUGGGGAUGGACUCGCGGCUUAUCAGCUUGUUGGUGGGGUAGUGGCUUACCAAGGCUUUGACGGGUAGCCGGCCUGAGAGGGUGACCGGCCACAUUGGGACUGAGAUACGGCCCAGACUCCUACGGGAGGCAGAAGUGGGGAAUAUUGCACAAUGGGCGGAAGACUGAUGCAGCAAAGCCGCGUGCGGGAUGACGGCCUUCGGGUUGUAAACCGCUUUCGCCUGUGACGAAGCGUGAGUGACGGUAAUGGGUAAAGAAGCACCGGCUAACUACGUG
rnacentral:rRNA from 1 species